CAGUAGCCACGGGAAUACGAAGGGGGCUAGCGUUGCUCGGAAUGACUGGGCGUAAAGGGCGCGUAGGCGGCGAUCAAAGUCAGAGGUGAAAGCCCGGAGCUCAACUCCGGAACUGCCUUUGAGACUGCAUCACUUGAACGUCGGAGAGGUGAGUGGAAUUCCGAGUGUAGAGGUGAAAUUCGUAGAUAUUCGGAAGAACACCAGUGGCGAAGGCGGCUCACUGGACGACUGUUGACGCUGAGGUGCGAAAGCGUGGGGAGCAAACAGGAUUAGAUACCCCUGUAGUCCCUGUCUCUUAUAC
rnacentral:rRNA from 1 species